GUGCUGUAUGAAGUGGCAUACUGUCUAUAUGCACAAACUAAAGCUGACUAUCUGUGUCCACGCAGUGAAGCCGGGUCAAUGUCCCAUACCGGAGACAAUUCCACUGUGUGCUGAAAGCUGUUUCCAUGAUGGCCAGUGUCCUGCCACAUGUUGCCCAACCACCGGUGGCAUUGCAUGCCGUGAACCACGUGGUCAGGGAAGAGGUCAGGCAAGUUGUCAGGAAAGCGGCCAUGGUCCGGGAAGCAGCCAGAGAAGUGGCCAGGGAAGUGGCGAGGGAAGCGGCCAGGGAAGCGGUUAUGGCCAGGGCAGCGGCCAGGGAAGCGGUUAUGGCCAGGGAAGCGGUUAUGGCCAGGGUAGCGGCCAGGGAAAGCGGUUAUGGCCAGGGUAGUGGCCAGGGAAGCGGUUAUGGCCAGGGAAGCGGUUAUGGCCAGGGAAGCGGUUAUGGCCAGGGUAACGGCCAGGGCCAGGGAAGUGGCCAUGGUCAGGGAAGCGCCCAGGGAAGCGGUUAUGGCCAGGGUAGCGGUUAUGGCCAGGGAAGCGGCUAUGGUCAGGGAAGUGGUUAUGGUCAGGGAAGUGGUUAUGGUCAGGGAAGCAGUCAGGGUCAGGGAAGUGGUUAUGGUCAGGGGAAUGGUCAGGGAUGUGGUCAAGGAAAUGGUCAAGGAUGUGGUCAUUGAAAUCAUCAUGGGACUUCUGCAUGACUCUUACUGGAGAACUUUUCAAUUCAGUGCCUUAUUCAUAUGGCAUGCUUUCCCUGUUUGCUCAAACAGUCUAGAAAGACUUUCUCAACUUUUUGUUAUUAUUAUUAUAUAAGCCUAUAAAUGCCGAGGUCCGGAUCUCACAGAUCUCAUUCUGGGAACGGCAGUGUGUUCAACUCUGUUUUUAUACAGUCUAUGGCAGAGUUCCUCAAAUCUUGCCCUGGUGGGCCAAUGCGCUGCAGAGUUUAGCUCCAACCCUGAUCAAACUCACCUACCUGUGAUUUUCUAAUGAUCCUGAAGACAUUGAUUAGCAUGCUCAGGUGUGUUUGAUUAGGGUUAGAGCUAAACUCUGCAGGAAAGUUUAUCUCGUGGGCCAGAUUUGAGGAUCCGUGGUCU
rnacentral:lncRNA from 1 species